rnacentral:rRNA from 1 species
UGGUGGGGUGACUUGUCUGCUUAAUUGCGAUAACGAACGAGACCUUAACCAGCUAAAUAGCCCGCAUUGCUCCGGCAGUGCGCUGGCUUCUUAGAGGGACUUUCGGCUCAAGCCGAAGGAAGUUUGAGGCAAUAACA